rnacentral:rRNA from 1 species
UACGUAGGUGGCGAGCGUUGUCCGGAUUUACUGGGCGUAAAGAGCGCGCAGGCGGUCGUGCAAGUCGCGUGUGAAAGCCCCCGGCUCAACUGGGGAGGGUCACGCGAUACUGUUCGACUCGAAGGCAGGAGAGGGAAGUGGAAUUCCCGGUGUAGUGGUGAAAUGCGUAGAUAUCGGGAGGAACACCAGUGGCGAAGGCGACUUCCUGGCCUGUUCUUGACGCUGAGGCGCGAAAGCUAGGGUAGCAAACGGG